UGUGUACUGUGGGCUGGAGGGAAAUGGGUAGCCUCUGGAGUGAUUCUGUGUUUCUGUUUAUGACAUUUUCCUGCAGAAUUCUUAUUAAAAACAAGAGUUGCAAGUGGAGCACUUGUGAUUCCUGCUGUCUGCACACUAAGUAUUUUUACAGCCGUGUAUCUGCAGUACUCAAGGAAUCUCCUUGAGUAGAAACACAGUGGCAAUUCACUUUAUUUAGCAGGAGAAGUAUUGAAACCUCAUUCACGUUUUAGGAUGAGUAAGGAUGUGGUGUCACUCACAGUGGAGCCUCAUUUAGAGCCCAUUGAUGUCAAUGGAAACACUUCCCUUUGCCUCAGUGGGCCAUGGACCAGGAAUAUGCAAGAUAUUUCUCCAUGAUGUGCUUGCUAAAAGAAGUGAGAUAUAUGGAAAAAAAUUGGACAUUUUUGUGAAGAAAAAAAAAAAAAGCAACUGGCCAAUAGCAACCUAGAAAGCAUCCAGCCUGGAUCUCAGCUGCAAAGGAGAAAAGUUCUUGUGUUGGUCUUGCCUGGAGUGCUGGCCUUGCUGGCCUCAAGCCCCUUGCCAUCCAGUGGAUUAAAGUUGAGACCCAAGACACCAGCCAGGUGAGGAGGCUGGAGAGAAGACGAGGUAAUAAGACCAUGCAAACCAUUCUGUAGCACAGAGCAAAGAGUGAUUUUCUUUUUCUCUGACUCUAUCACAAACAGUGCACAAGAGAACAAGCGAAAAAACCUGAAAUUUGUCAAGAAGUGUGCUUGCUGUUCACACUGAUCAUAAUGUUUACUCUGGUAAUCUUGCAAGUUUUGCUGAUUUUGCUCUUAGAAGUACAAGCUCUGAGAGAUAUCACCUUUAAGUUAUUUUCAUCCCACUUAGCUAGGAUAUGUAUCUUAACUCAUUUUAAUGUAUGUAUUGUUUGUUGACUGUAUGAAAUGAAUACCUGACAUUUAUCCUAGAAAGUUGUUAGAUGAUUAUAGAUAAAGCAAAAUUUUCAGCGUAAUUAUUAAAUAAAGUAUCUGUGGGAUUUUUUAAAAUUGUGCAUUCUUUAAUUUACUGCAAUUCAAUGUUUUAAAUUCAAAUAUUAUGGGCUAUGGUGUCAGUCUUUCCCUGGCUUAUGUUUUCAAGUACCAAGAACAUUACAAUCCAGAGCUUUCGUAUCUGAUCCUGUUUAUGUCACUAGCAAAAGCUCCUUGCUGUGUUUACUUCAUCACAGAUGUGCGUUAUAGGAUUUUGAAGAGAUCUUCAAUAUCUCUUGGUCUAUUUCUCCUUCCAAACAGACAAUCCCUGCAAGUGUUCUGAUUUUAAUUUAAAUUAUAUGCAUCAGUUGCUGCCAUAAAACAAGUUAGUCUUGGCCCUGAUGUUAUAGGUUGUCAGGAAAUAUUUUAUAUGGAGAAACAAUGAACAAUGAAUAUAUGAUAUAACUUGUGGAAAAGUUGUGCUCCUGCAGUUCUGACUCAGACAUUAUUUCCACUUAUUAUGGUCUUUGCUGCCAGUGUUUUCCAAAAUGGCAAAAUCAGAACUCAAGAAGAAAAUAUGAGUGAGGGACAGCAUGUACUCAGAGCAGCCUGAGGGUUUAUUUUGGGCUGUAAAACAGGGACACUUCAGCAAAAUUUAAGUACAUAAUAUUAUGUGACAAAUCUCAGACCAGGACAGGGAGUGUGCCACAUAAUUUUACUUUAAUACUUUAGUACAUAAUUUUACUUUAGUACAAAGAAGUGUAAUUUAAAGGUAAUAGUGGAAGACUAAGAGAUUCAGAAAAUAUAGAAAAAUUGCAGGGGUGUGAGAUAGCUAGUUUUUUCCCCUUUACAGCAAUCACAUAGUAAAAAAAUUGGGAUUUUUUUUUCUUUUUCUGUAAACAUAGCUAACUCCUUUAUUCCAAUUCAAAAGUGUUACAUUUGACUAAGAUAACUUACAUUGGUCAUUUCACUUGGGUUCCUGACUAACAGUCAGAGCCACUGGUGUAUCAUGCCUUUUCCUGCUCACUGGCUACUGCCUAGGGGCAGCAGUGGUUCUCUGCAGUCACCAUCUGCCUUUCAACCUUUUAUACAUCUUUAUACUUUUUUAAAGCAGCUGGAGACCUUCUUAUUCUUUAAGGUUAACUCAAUGUAAACAAUGAGAGCACAGAGGAGUAACUGCAUCUUUACCAUGAAGAAAAAUCUACAUCUUCUCUAUAAAAAUUCAGGCUUUAUCUUUAUGCCAAAAGGAUCUUGCUUCUGAAAAGGUCUUGAAAAUCUUUUUUUUAGCUAACUGGUUUUUAUCUACAUUUAAAAAUACCCAACCCAAACCUUACAAAAACCACAAACAAACAAACAAACAUAAUCCUUCACCAAACACAUUUUAUGUAAGAAACACUGUAAUUUGACUGUGAUAGAGUUUCAUAUAAGUAUGUUGAACUGAAUUGAUGGAAAGGGAAAUGAAAUACAAUAGCAUUUCUUUCUUAAAUAGAGCUACAUAUUACUAUGAGAAAACUAGUUAACAGCAAGUUAAAAAGGAGAAGCUAGAAGACAAAUUUUUUAUAGCUCACAUGGAGAAAGUUUAAAACCACCACAUCUGAGGAUUGCAGCUAAUGAACAGUGCUAAUUAAACAGAACCAUUCAAUGAAAACAGAACCAUUCAAUGAAAAUCCAACCACAAAAUAAAAAGGAUUCAGCUUCAUGAAACAGCCAAAUUAAAGACGAAAGUAGCUCUUAAAAAUACAUCUUCCCAAAUAGGUGGAAGUCAUAUAUAGUUAGGGAAAACAGAAAAGGGCAUAACAGCUACCAAAGGAAGAGCAAAAAAUACUAAAGAUGGAAAAAAAUGGUGGAAUUUUGGGAAGCUGUGAAGAGGCAACUGCCAGAGAAUUUUCAUUUUGUUCACAAAUGAUCAAGAUGCAACAGGAAUUCUUAAGCAGCUUGGAGGAAAGUAAUCUGAAAUCUUGGCAUUAUCUUCCAUGACAGAGGAACUGUUUUGGAUAAUUGAUGAGAGCAGACAAGACAUCAACAUGCUGCUUUGAAUGAUACAUAUUUUGAACAGUGUGUAGAUCUGGUCCUUCCAUACAGUAGAACUGGAACUAAAGUAGGUAAAGUAGAUCUAGGAAAGGUAUAGAGAAGAACAAGGAUAACCAGAAAUUUGAAACAGUUGUUCCACAUAAAGCAACAACAAAUAAAGGACUUUUCAACUUGGAAAGAUCUAUAAGGAUAUGAAUUGUGAAAUAAUAAAAAGGAAAACUGUUGAGCUUUUCUCUCUAUAGACAAGUGUGGAGAUGUGGAAGUUUCAAAGCAAUAAAAAUAAAUAAUUUUUAGAAGUACCUUUCCCAAACUUAAAUAAAAAUACAUGACUCAACUCAUUGGUAGAUUAUACUGAGGUGACAGAGGUGACAACAAUUCCGUGUAAACAAGCAAGCAAAUUUAGUUAAGAAAUAAACAGAUUCACAGGGUAGAAUCUCCACAUGCCAGUCUGGAUCAAAACAUCAGUACAGGAAGUCUAUGAACAUAAAGAAGUAGGGAAAGUAUAGCAGGGGAAACACAAAAAACAGAGUAUGUUAAUAUCUGAAACAGUCUGUAAUACCACAUUUUAUGUUCCUUAUCAAAUUGUCCAUUUUUUUAUCCUUAGCAUAAUUUAGGAUCAAUGCUUAUGUUCUCCUAUAUAUUUGUUGUUCAAUACACACACCAGUAAAAAUUUUGUUGGCUAUGCAGAAUUUUUGUGGAUGUUGCCAAGAUUGGAAUGUUUGAUGGUGAAUUAGACACUGAUGGCUUUCCUGUCUUUCACUCCUUCCUUUCUAUUUGUCUUGAACCAUGUUUUGCCAAAAAGAGCAAUUUCAUUUCUUGAAUAAAAAUGUUUCAUUUAACCUC